CUUCCUACGUUGUCUGUCAGACAUGUCAGGCACGCGCACGCAACCAUAGAUGAAGAUCCAUCCCUCAUCCCUAUUCUGCUCUGCUUCCUCGCUAUUCCAAACGACACCAUGGACACGCACACGCUUCUAUUAACGACUGAGCUUAAUGAUGGCCUCCCAAGUCAUGAUUUGGGGAAAAAUUAGGGGAGUCAUAAUGUUAAUUCCGAAAUUAAGGUAGGUUAACGGCUAUUACAUAUGGUAUAGGUUUAUAUACGUUUCUUUUACUCAAUCAAUGUUUGCCCUAAAAUUCGAAAUCUCUUAUUGAGGCUUUGUCUUUGUUAUUGCGUCUGAGAUUGUGACUUUGCUUGUGGAAUUGCAAUUGAUUAUUGAUACCGUGGUUGCAACUUAAGAUUGGGGCUAUGUUUGGAAGGCAGAAAACUUGUUCAGACUUUCAAAGAAGAGAAGAGAAUAGUUAAAAGUGGCUAUUGCAUAUGUAAUAUUUCAGAUUUCGAUUCCUAUUUUAUAUUUCCUAGAAACUAACAUUGCUAUUUGUUAUUAGUUAGGCUUUAUCUAAUUGAUAUUUGCUACAAAAUUGGGGAUCGUUGGGUUAGAAACUGUGAUAAUAGUUAGAAACUGUGAUAGUAGAUAUUUGCUAGAUUUCAAUUGCUAUUUGAUAUUUGUUAGAAACCGUGAUAGUAGUUAGGCUAUUUGCUAUGUCAAAUCGAAUCUAAACUUUUGAAUCCGGUUAUGCAAAAGACAAAAAAAACGAAAACAAGACUCUUUAAUUGAAUCACAAAAGGGAGCACUUCUAAAAUUUUGUUCCAAACAUAAUUCUACAAAAGAUAUACCUAUAACAAGUGAACGUCCAGACGAUAAUCUAUAAUACUAUAUAAUACAUCUCCCAUGGACAUAAUUGGUAAUUUCUAGCACAAUUUUAAGAUGGCAUGUGAAAAGUCACUUAAAAUCCCAAAUUUUUUUCCAUUUCCUUCCAUUCUUGCCCCUCUCCCCUCUAACACACCGGCCUCCCUCUUUACCGCAUGAAAACCCUAUCACAUGCCUUGAGUCUUCAAUUGCAAAUGAAACGUCUUGCCUUCUGGCGUUUCCAUCGCCCCCUCUACUCUAUAAUACUUACUACUGUGUUUUUGGUUUUCUCCACCGUCGUUUGCUUCUUCCACCUCCUUCUGACAUGGUUCAUCUACAAGGUAACCCUCUGUAAUGACGUCAUUUACUUUCGCUUUUUUUUUUCCGAUUCUCUUUGUUUUAGAUUGUUAGUGUUCGUGAGUUCCUACUUAGAGUUAAAUCAAAAAUAUCUGUGUGCAUUUUUGGGUUUUUUGGUCUCUAGAUUGACACCCUUCACUUCUUCUUUAUUUUUAUUUGCUCAGAUCCUUCUUGGACAACCGGCUAUCUCAGUUAGGGCCUCUAUAAAAGAACACGAGCAACGUUUUUUAGAAACAUAUAUUGUCGCUUCAACAAAAUGUCAUCGUCAUAAGUGAUGCUAAAAAGUUGGUGCAAAGAAAAAGAAGAGAAAGCUAUAAAGAAGGAAUUGAAUGAUUUACUUACAAUUGUUGUUGUUCAACCUAAGGUGCACGUUGCUGAUGUCAUUUGCAACGAUGUAAAGUUUGUUCAGGUAUACAAGCCCCUCUCUUGGGCAUGUGUAGUGGGGCAUUACGAUUAAGCCCCUCUCUUGGGCAUGAAGCGACAUGUGGCAUUAUGGGGGUGAAGUUCAAAAGUGGUGUAGUGGUUCCUUUUGAUCAUCAGGCGUAUUCAUAAACACGCCAUGGCCUCUUUGUUUUGAAUCAUGCCCAUGGGGGCGGUGUUUGCGGCGUGAAGUAGCAAGAUCACGCCACUUCACCUUUCCACUACACAUGGUCUAGCAUUUUUCUUGUUUUCUGUUGCAAAGGUCUGCAAGGUGGAUCCAAUUCCCGGAGAGACUAAAGUUUGGCAAUACAUUACCGCUUACAAAGAAGAUAUUCUUGAUGGAUUGCCCUGGUGUUGUUUAUGGCAGAAGUGAUACUGAAACUAUAUUGUUUUAAAGGGGGUGUGGAUGGAACUUUCUCAGUGAAGUCUGAUGUCUUCAAUUUUUGAGUCUUAAUCUUGGAUAUUGCAAGUGGAAGAAGAAAUACAAGCUUCUCUCAUCUUAACAAGACAAUCAAUCUUAUCGGAUAUGCAUGGGAGUGCAGCAUUAAUUUUCGAAUGCUUUUAGGCACGGGAGCUGUGGCAACAAGGGAAUGCAUUACAAUUGCAGGAUCCAACACCUGCUGAUACUUGUUGUACACCAGUUAUUGGGACUAUUCAGGUUGUACUACUUUGCGUACAAGAAAAUGCAAUUGACAGACCAGAAAUGUCAGACGUGAUCUAUGCUUCUUAAUGAUACUAUGUUGUUACCUCUCCCAAAGGGAUCGUCUUUUUUUUUUAGCAGAACUGUGUCUAAUUCAGCUUCAAUCGAAGGGAAGGUAGAUUGUGCCUUUGGAAACAACAUACCAUUACACAAAUGGAGGCUCGAUGGCACAUUAUCGAUAGCCCAUUUAAGAGUUGAUAUUAUUAUUGUUUGGAUGUCUUUAAGUUUUGUUAUGGGCACGGCUUGAGUAAUGAAGCGCACCAGUUCAUCUCAAUGCAUGACAACUCAAGUAAUGGAGGCCUCGAGUUCAUUUCUCGCCAUUAAGAGCACAAAGUUUGGUUGUUUACUUUUUUCCCUUGAUCAAUCAAAGUUCUCUUGAGAUAAGUGAAAGUUAAGUUUACUUUGCAGGUGUGUAGCAAUUUUUUUUGUUCAUCAUUUUUUAUCACUGAAGUUUUUGACUUCACGACUGAUGAAUAUGGUGGUAUUUCAAGAUUGCUACAACAUAUUUUAAUUGUU